rnacentral:rRNA from 1 species
GACGAACGCUGGCGGCGUGCUUAACACAUGCAAGUCGAACGGAAAGGCCCUGCUUUUGUGGGGUGCUCGAGUGCGAACGGGGGAGUAACACGUUAGUAACCUGCCCUUGACUUUUGGAUAACUUCAGGAAACUGGGGCUAAUACCGGAUAGGAGCUCCUGCUGCAUGGUGGGGGUUGGAAAGUUUCGGCGGUUGGGGAUGGACUCGCGGCUUAUCAGCUUGUUGGUGGGGUAGUGGCUUACCAAGGCUUUGACGGGUAGCCGGCCUGAGAGGGUGACCGGCCACAUUGGGACUGAGAUACGGCCCAGACUCCUACGGGAGGCAGCAGUGGGGAAUAUUGCACAAUGGGCGGAAGCCUGAUGCAGCAACGCCGCGUGCGGGAUGACGGCCUUCGGGUUGUAAACCGCUUUCGCCUGUGACGAAGCGUGAGUGACGGUAAUGGGUAAAGAAGCACCGGCUAACUACGUG